rnacentral:rRNA from 1 species
GNAUUUAUUGGGCGUAAAGCGAGCGCAGGCGGUUAGAUAAGUCUGAAGUUAAAGGCUGUGGCUUAACCAUAGUACGCUUUGGAAACUGUUUAACUUGAGUGCAGAAGGGGAGAGUGGAAUUCCAUGUGUAGCGGUGAAAUGCGUAGAUAUAUGGAGGAACACCGGUGGCGAAAGCGGCUCUCUGGUCUGUAACUGACGCUGAGGCUCGAAAGCGUGGGGAGCGAACAGGAUUAGAUACCCUGGUAGUNCACGCCGUAAACGAUGAGUGCUAGGUGUUAGGCCCUCUCCGGGGCUUAGUGCCGCAGCUAACGCAUUAAGCACUCCGCCUGGGGAGUACGACCGCAAGGUUGAAACUCAAAGGAAUUGACGGGGGCCCGCACAAGCGGUGGAGCAUGUGGUUUAAUUCGAAGCAACGCGAAGAACCUUACCAGGUCUUGACAUCCCGAUGCCCGCUCUAGAGAUAGAGUUUUACUUCGGUACAUCGGUGACAGGUGGUGCAUGGUUGUCGUCAGCUCGUGUCGUGAGAUGUUGGGUUAAGUCCCGCAACGAGCGCAACCCUUAUUGUUAGUUGCCAUCAUUCAGUUGGGCACUCUAGCGAGACUGCCGGUAAUAAACCGGAGGAAGGUGGGGAUGACGUCAAAUCAUCAUGCCCCUUAUAACCUGGGCUACACACGUGCUACGAUGGCUGGUACAACGAGUCGCAAGUCGGUGACGGCAAGCUAAUCUCUUAAAGCCAGUCUCAGUUCGGAUUGUAGGCUGCAACUCGUCUACAUGAAGUCGGAAUCGCUAGUAAUCGCGGAUCAGCACGCCGCGGUGAAUACGUUCCCGGGCCUUGUACACACCGCCCGUCACACACGAGAGUUUGUAACACCCGAAGUCGGUG